AGAGUUUGAUCCUGGCUCAGAACGAACGCUGGCGGCAGGCUUAACACAUGCAAGUCGAACGAAGUCUUCGGACUUAGUGGCAGACGGGUGAGUAACGCGUGGGAACCUACCUUUCGGUACGGAACAACAGUUGGAAACGACUGCUAAUACCGUAUGCGCCCUACGGGGGAAAGAUUUAUCGCCGAAAGAUGGGCCCGCGUUGGAUUAGCUAGUUGGUAGGGUAAUGGCCUACCAAGGCGACGAUCCAUAGCUGGUCUGAGAGGAUGAUCAGCCACACUGGGACUGAGACACGGACCCGACUCCUACGGGAGGCAGCAGUAAGGGAUAUUGCGACAAUGGGCGAAAGCCUGACGCAGCAACGCCGCGUGUGGGAUGACGGCCUUCGGGUUGUAAACCACUUUUCUGGGGGAAGAGGAAGGACGGUACCCCAGGAAUAAGUCUCGGCUAACUACGUGCCAGCCGCCGCGGUAAUUC
rnacentral:rRNA from 1 species